GGGAAAGCCCGCAAGGGUGAGUACAGUGGCGCACGGGUGCGUAACACGUGGGUAUUCUGCUCAGAAGCCCGGAAUAACUCCCCGAAAGGGGUGCUAAUGCCGGAUGAGACCACGGGGACUUCGGUUCCUGGGGGAAAAGGUGGCCUCUGUAUACAAGCUAUCACUUCUGGAUGAGCCCGCGGCCCAUCAGCUAGUUGGCGGGGUAAUGGCCCACCAAGGCUACGACGGGUAGCUGGUCUGAGAGGACGAUCAGCCACACUGGAACUGAGACACGGUCCAGACUCCUACGGGAGGCAGCAGUGGGGAAUCUUGCGCAAUGGGCGAAAGCCUGACGCAGCAACGCCGCGUGUGUGAUGAAGGUCUUCGGAUCGUAAAGCACUGUCGGGAGGGACGAAUAAGGGCCGGGUGAACAAUCCGGUCUGACGACGGUACCUCCAGAGGAUGCACCGGCUAACUCUGUGCCAGCAGCCGCGGUAAUACAGAGGGUGCUAGCGUUGUUCGGAAUUAUUGGGCGUAAAGCGCGUGUAGGCGGCCGGCCAAGUCGGAUGUGAAAGCCCUCGGCUCAACCGAGGAAGUGCGUUCGAUACUAGCUGGCUUGAGUACCGGAGAGGGUGGUGGAAUUCCCGGUGUAGAGGUGAAAUUCGUAGAUAUCGGGAGGAACACCAGUGGCGAAGGCGACCACCUGGACGGAUACUGACGCUGAGACGCGAAAGCGUGGGGAGCAAACAGGAUUAGAUACCCUGGUAGUCCACGCUGUAAACGAUGAGCGCUAGGUGUUGCGGGUGUUGACCCCUGCAGUGCCGAAGCUAACGCAUUAAGCGCUCCGCCUGGGAAGUACGGCCGCAAGGCUAAAACUCAAAGGAAUUGACGGACUUUCCCA
rnacentral:rRNA from 1 species